rnacentral:lncRNA from 1 species
ACUCUUUGUUUUAAUGUAGUUCUGAAAAAUCAUUAUUCUUUGCCUAAACAGGUCUUCUAAAAUAACCAGAAAAGUCUAACCAGAAAGCAGGAUUUGUUUCUCUCUCACACACAUCUCUCACACACAGAGAAAACAGAACUGAACUCGAAAGUUUAGAUAAACUGAAGCGAAAUCUAUCUGAUUCAGUCAAAUAUUGUCC